rnacentral:misc_RNA from 1 species
UUCAUUUAUUCAUCAAAGACUCCGACGUACAGAGACAGGGUUGGUUGGUCCACCGGGGGCGGCGGAGGCCGCUCUGCCCCCGAGGCAAAAGUGGUUUGGUCAACAAAGGGUUGGGGACGGGGGCGCGGGGGCCCGCCAUCUCUGGUAAUGAUCCCUCCGCAGGUUCACCUACGGAGA